AAGUUCCCCCACAGGGGAGGCAAUAACAGAAAGCUGUGCGACAUCUCACAGAUCCCAUCAACAGGAUGAUCUCUAUCCUUUUGUUCGCUGCGGCGUGGGUUGCUUGCCUGGCACAAUCCAAUGAGUUCGCAUCGUACUCCCCAGCCGUCGGAUCAGGGCUUGGAACUCCCUUCUUGUCCUCAGGAGAGGGAAUCAUCACAGGCGUGAAAGUCUGGGAGGUCCCUAAUAGCCACAUUGCUGGCAUCCAGUUGCGUCAUGACAACAACUGGGGCGUUCUUCUUGGUCUCGUCAGCCCCAAUGAACUAAGCAUUGACCUAUUUGAAGGAGAGACCAUUACUCAGGUGUCUGGUAAAUUCAACCCAGAGGACCUGAUUUGUCAGUUGAUUUUUGAGACUAGCAUGGGACGUGCUCUUAUCGCAGGCCAGCCAAUACAGGUAUCCUUUAACUUUUACCCCCAGCAUAUGGAGGAGGAGCUUCGGAUGCUGAGUGGGACGUUUGAUACCAUUGGGAUCACAUCACUGGGAGCCCAUUGGGGGAUAGUCACUCCCGGCACAAACCAAACGUUUAAAAUGAAUACUACUGAACUACACGUUUAAAAGUACAUUAGACUUUUGAGUUUGUAUGAUUUCCCAAUUAGCAAAAGAGCAUUAUAAGCAUAUUCUGAUUGUUGUUUCAGCAAAGUGAUUGGAAUGAACACAUGAAUGAGUUGUGAGGUGGAUGUGGUUUGACCACUUUAAUAAUGUUGGCAGUAAUGGUUAAGGCUGCAUUUUUACUUUGCAAACCAAAACUUAUCUGCAACUCAUUUGAUCCAACACUCGUCCUUUAAUCACCUUUGCCUUCAAUGGUCAAUCCUUGUUGUGGCUUUUAAUGAAAAAAAACAAAAAUGAAAAUGUGGUCCUUCCUUUGCAAAGCACUAUGAAGGGCCUCAUGUUUGAUCUGCGGUUUAUAAUAAACUUGCCCUGCCUAACUGAACGAUGUCUCUGCUCUCGAUCUUUCAUUCGGCUAAUGAAAGAUUGAUUUUCAAAUCAGAUUUUGGUUUCUGCAAAGCGAUUGGAAUGAACACAUGAAGGAGUUGAGGGGUGGAUGUGGUUUGACCUUGGUUUGACCACUUCAGGCUGCAUUUUAUAUUGCAAACUAAAACCUAACUACAACUUAUUUGAUCUAUA